UAUUGCGCAAUGGGCGAAAGCCUGACGCAGCCAUGCCGCGUGGAUGAUGAAGGCCUUCGGGUCGUAAAGUCCUUUUCUGAGGGAAGAACUGCCGGGGGAGGAAAUGCCCUUGGCUUGACGGUACCUCAGGAAUAAGCAACGGCUAACUCCGUGCCAGCAGCCGCGGUAAUACGGAGGUUGCAAGCGUUGUUCGGAAUGACUGGGCUUAAAGGGAGCGCAGGCGGCCAAGUCAGUCUGAAGUGAAAGCCCGGGGCUUAACCCCGGAAUAGCUUUGGAUACUGCCUGGCUUGAGUGUGCGAUAGGAAAGCGGAAUUCCAGGUGUAGCGGUGAAAUGCGUAGAUAUCUGGAGGAACACCGGUGGCGAAAGCGGCUUUCUGGCGCAUAACUGACGCUGAGGCUCGAAAGCGUGGGGAGCGAACGGG
rnacentral:rRNA from 1 species